ACAAUACAAUACAAUACAAAUUUAUUAUCAUUUGAGCCCCAGUGAGACUCAAACGAAAUGUUGUUUCCACAGCCAUACAAACAAAGACACUGUCUUACAGACAUACACAUAAUUAAAUUCACACAAACAUCCAUCACAGUGAAGCCACUGUGAUGGAAGGCAAGUCUUUUCUCUCCCCUGUUCUCCGUGUCUCUCCCGAUGUCCAAGCCCCAGGCGGGCGAUGAUGAGUCCCACGGCCAUUUUAGGCCGCGCGGGGCGAUUUACGGCCCCGCUCCCGGUCUGAAAGUCCAAGGUUGGAACCCCCACGGGCGAUGGUGAGUCCCACGGCCAUGAAGCCGCGCCAGGUGAUGUACGGUCCCGGUCCGGGUUGUUCCAACCCCGUGACACCGGCUGGAGAAGUCGCGUUGCGGGAGCUCCGGGAAGCGGUCUCUCUCUCUCCUCCCAGACCCGCGAGCUCCCGAUGUCACAGUCCACCACAAUGCUGGAGUAACUUACUCAGCGGGACAAGCAGCAUCUCUGGAGAGAAGGAAUUGGUGACGUUUCGGGUCGAGACCUUUCUUCAAUAAAGUCAGUUUUGUAUAUUGUCACAUGUACCAAGUUACGAGGCCUAAAGCUGAAGUAUUGCAGAAGUUGGACGGAACCUGUUAGACAUGGUGCAGGAACAAAUUCAUUCAUGCACACAGAGAGGAACAGUUUCAAGGAACAAGGCCACCCCCGGUGCGGAGGUAACCUUACAAUGGGCACUGAUCUACUGUGGUUUUACUGACCUGGUAUGACCAAGUACAACAUCGCCGUUGAUCCCAAAGUCACUCCUGUGGUUCGAGCACCACAUCGUGUUCCGCAUGCCAUGCCCGACAGGGUACACAAUGAGCUCAAGCGGAUGGUCUCCCUGGGUCUCCCUGGGUGUCAUUGCUGAAAUUUACUGACCCAUCUGACUGGUUUUCCAUCAUGGUGGUUGCAACGAAGAAAAACAAGCAUCAACCCCAGGGACCUCAACACAGCUAUCAAACGGCCACACUACCCUAUGUGAACGGUAGAGGAAGUUGCUGCUCAAAUAGGCAACGCAUCAGUGUUCUCCGUUCUGGAUGCCAAAAGCUCGUUUGGCAGAUUCCGCUGGACCCAGACUCGUCCAACCUCACUACGCUUGUUACAAGUUCCUGAGAAUGCCCUUUGGCAUCAACUCUGCCAGCGAGGUUUUUCAGCCCACGAUGGAACAACUGUUUGCGGGGUAUCCAUGCGCCAUCAUUGUUGAUGGCAUUCUCAUCUACGGGUGUGACUUGGCUGAGCAAUGACGCCAAUCUGAAGAGAGUGUUGGACCGUGCCAAAGACAUUCAGCUCAAACUCAAUCCCCUGAAGUGCAAGUUUUGAGUCCCGGAAUUUACCUAUGUCGGACAUGUUUUCACAAGUGAUGGUCUUAGACCAGACCCAUCAAAAACUGCUGCAAGUAGGACAGCAGGGUCAUCAAUCGUUUCUGCAGGCACUUGGAUCUGACUGUUUGCAUCUAAAACAGCAGGCUCAAAUGUAAAAUGGUCCGAAUGUCCAGCCAGGUUUAGUAACAUAGAAGCACGUACAUUUGGAGGAUUGUUGCAAUGAAUGAUGUGAAUGUAGUGAAUGUAGUCGCGCUCGAAAAGUUGCUAGCGUUCAGCAAUGUCAGAGUCAAAGAUCAGAGGACUAGGACGGCGAGACGAGUUUGCCAUCAUAGAGAUAACAGGCACAUAAAACAAAUAUAAAAAAUAAAACCCAAUAAACGUGAAUGGUGUAGGUAAGACUCACUUCUUGACACCAUGUAAUGACUCGAGUCGUACACACGUCAAGAUACAACACAUAUUUAUUAGUCUGUUAUCAGUCUGAAGAAAGGUUUCGUCGCCUAUUUUCUUCGCUCCAUAGAUGCUGCUGCACCCACUGAGUUUCUCCAGCAAUUUUGUGUACCUUACAUAUUUAUUAAAGUCCACUUACUGCAUUGGUCUGCAGGAUAUUACCGUAACUCUGUACUGUACACUGACAAUGACAAUUAAAGUUGAAUCUGAAUCUGAAUCUAACUAACAGCUACUCAGACUGAAUUACGUAAGCAAGCUCUUUGUAAUAUAAGUCGCAUAUUAGGCGGAGCAACUACUAACAAGCACUACAAUUAACCAAUACAAUAUUAUAUCUGGUACAUUUUUACAUGACUUGGCUCAGUUCACUGUUUACAUGAGUCAGGCUUCCCACUAGAACAUAAAUAAUUAACUUCUUUAAUUAUCUGUAAAGAUAAAAGAUGUAAUUGCUAUAUCUGGUUUAGAAUGAAGAACUGCAGUAAGUCACAGAACCUUCCCUUCGGAAAUUUCGCCCCAUCCUUUCUUUCUUUUUUCCGACUGCUCUUUUCUGACUUAAAUAUUUAAAACAUCUAACUUUUCUCAGUUAUAAUAGAGAGCUAUUAACCUGAAACAUUAGUCAUAUUUCUCCCUCCAGAAAUGCUGUUAAGCAUUUCCAACAUUUUCUGUUUUCCUCAUCUCAUUCUCUCCAAACCCUCCCCAUUUUGCCUCAUAGCCUAUGACAUCUUGUAUGCCACUCUAUUCGUUUCCCCCUAACCACAUACAAGGCCAAUUCUAAUCCCUUGUUUGGAUCAUUCAUUACUGAAAUAGACAAUAGACAAUAAAAUCUUGCCACCAUGGUAAAAUUCCCAUUUAUCUUACAACUGCACUUUUAAGUUGCAAACUUCUGAAUCUUUCCCUUUCCAAUCACCAUAAUGCUUGUAAUCAAUCUACUGCAUAUUAAUCCAUUGUUUGUACUUGUAAUCCUACUCCCACCUCUGCCCCAAUAUUUAGUCAAAUUUCUACAUUGGCAUCAUUUGAUAACUCAAAAUUUCCGACCUCCUUGCAAAUAUUUAUCUUUCAAAUGCUGCCAAAGGAAAUUAAUCAGCUUUUCUGUUUGGAAUAGUGGUACAUGACACUCCCUUUCAAACUUAAGACAUUGCACAUAAAUACCAAUCAUUAGUGUGAAAUAUUUGGUGACAUUUAUAAAGUAAAAUAAGAUAACAAAUGUAUAUAUUUGUCAUGGAACAAUCUUAACCUAACUUCAGUACAGAAAACAGUUUCCGAUGCAAAGAUAGCAUAGUAUCACCCCAAUUCUUGAUUUUACUCUUUGUCACAGUAUAAUUUAGGAUGAAGAAGUCAGUCUGAUCUUGUGGCUUUUGCUGGUUGGAUGGGAAUGUUAAAACUAUUGUUUUAUUUUCCAAAAGUAAUGGCCAUUCUUAAAUGACAACUCAUCAAGAGUCAAGAGUGUUGAAUUGUCACAUGUAUUGGCGAUGGAACAAUGAA